rnacentral:piRNA from 1 species
UAGACAAGGGUGACCCUAAGAGUCCAUGGC